UGUAACAUGCAUAGGAUCAGAAAUAACCCAA
rnacentral:piRNA from 1 species